GUAGCUUUGUCAAAGCUAAGCUACAGGUUUAAAUCCCGUAAAUUUCU
rnacentral:tRNA from 1 species